GCGUCUGAUCCGUGCGCUCAGCCUGAGCAGCCAGACCUUAUAAAAGCAAUGAGUAAAGAACUCGCUUAAAUGCCGAUGCAGCAUUUUCAGGAAAUGGCUUAGGUCUGGAAAAUGGUGGCAAGCGAUGGUGUCACUCUGUCUCCAGUUCAACUGUGGAAAAGAGGCAUUUCCCUCACAUUCCUGGUCUUGAUCUCAAGUUGUGUUUGCUGCUGAGGAGGACAGGUCCUUCUAGCUCAAUGUGCUAGGCCCUUGCUUCUCUUUUCCUUUCCAUCCGAGAAAGACAAAAAUCCAGCUAAGGCAAAAGUAUGGGACAGAUAACCAGACUGCACCAGUAUAUCUUCACAUGAAGAAAGAAGAAAUGAAACUUCCCAGAAGUUAAUGCUUGUGAACUUCUAAGAAACGAGAACAUUAAAGCUGUUAUAUACUAUCAUAGAACACUGGAUAGAUACCAAACAAAAAUUGUCCCAACAAGUUUACAUUUGCAGCAUGGAAAAAGAAGGAAGCUGCAUAAUUCAUAUUCUACAGUUUACAGAAAACGUAAAAUGUUUUGACUCCAAAUCAAAUAUUUUGGCUUUUUGCCAUUUAUCAAGUAUUCUGCUCAUAUCACUUAAGACAAUUUAAUGACAACAAGAAUGCUUACAGAAAGAGGCAAUGUUGGCUUUCAUUCACUGGGAAAUUAACUUUGCUGGUGAAAAAUUACUAAAGCGUCUACAAAAGAUUUACAUGAAUAAAAAUAUGGUAUUAUACUGAUGCAAGUAUAGUUUUGAAUAUCCAUUUAAAAUCAAUAUGUUAUGUUGCAAAAUAAAUGUUAAUGUACCUUGAAAAGUA